rnacentral:rRNA from 1 species
CAAUAGCGUAUAUUUAAGUUGUUGCAGUUAAAAAGCUCGUAGUUGGAUUUCGGGUGGGACGCAGCGGUCUCGCAUUGCGUUUGUACUGCUGCAGCCCUCCUUCUUGCCGGGGGCGGCCUCUCGGACUUCACUGUCUGGGGGUCAGAAUCGGCGAUGUUACUUUGAGUAAAUUAGAGUGUUCAAAGCAAGCUUACGCUCUGAAUAUAAUAGCAUGGGAUAACACGACAGGACUCUGGCCUAUCGUGUUGGUCUAUAGGACCAGAGUAAUGAUUAAGAGGGACAGUCGGGGGCAUUCGUAUUCCGUUGUCAGAGGUGAAAUUCUUGGAUUUACGGAAGACGAACAUCCGCGAAAGCAUUUGCCAAGGAUGUUUNCAUUG